AGAUUAAAGAUUUAUCGGUGAUGGAUGGGGAUGCGUCUGAUUAGCUUGUUGGCGGGGUAACGGCCCACCAAGGCGACGAUCAGUAGGGGUUCUGAGAGGAAGGUCCCCCACAUUGGAACUGAGACACGGUCCAAACUCCUACGGGAGGCAGCAGUGAGGAAUAUUGGUCAAUGGACGAGAGUCUGAACCAGCCAAGUAGCGUGCAGGAUGACGGCCCUAUGGGUUGUAAACUGCUUUUAUAAGGGAAUAAAGUUAGUCUCGUGAGACUUUUUGCAUGUACCUUAUGAAUAAGGACCGGCUAAUUCCGUGCCAGCAGCCGCGGUAAUACGGAAGGUCCGGGCGUUAUCCGGAUUUAUUGGGUUUAAAGGGAGCGUAGGCCGGAGAUUAAGCGUGUUGUGAAAUGUAGACGCUCAACGUCUGCACUGCAGCGCGAACUGGUUUCCUUGAGUACGCACAAAGUGGGCGGAAUUCGUGGUGUAGCGGUGAAAUGCUUAGAUAUCACGAAGAACUCCGAUUGCGAAGGCAGCUCACUGGAGCGCAACUGACGCUGAAGCUCGAAAGUGCGGG
rnacentral:rRNA from 1 species